GAUGAAGAACGUAGCGAAAUGCGAUAAGUAAUGUGAAUUGCAGAAUUCAGUGAAUCAUCGAAUCUUUGGACGCACCUUGCGCUCCUUGGUAUUCCGAGGAGCAUGCCUGUUUGAGUGUCAUUAAUAUAUCAACCUCUUCAGCUUAUGCUUGUUGAGUGUUGGAUGGUGGGGGUUUGCUGGUGUCUUAUGAAGUCAGCUCCUCUGAAAUGCAUUAGCGGAACAAUUUGUUGACCGUUCAUUGGUGUGAUAAAAAUAUCUACGCUAUUGACGUCAGUCAGUUCAGCUUCUAACAGUCCAUUGACUUGGACAAAUUUUUCAUUAAUGUGACCUCAAAUCAGGUAGGACUACCCGCUGAACUUAAGCAUAUCAAUAAGCGGAGGA
rnacentral:misc_RNA from 1 species